rnacentral:misc_RNA from 1 species
AGCACACCUUGCACUCUUUGGUAUUCCUCAAACUACUUCUAUUUUGAAGGCAGUUUGGAUGUGAGAGUUGCUGGUUUUUUUCUCAAAUCAGUUCUCUUUAAUAGUAGUUUGGCUUUGUCCCACAUUCUCAAUUGAUGUGAUAGUUUAUCUACAUCACUAGAGGAUGAAUCUGCUUCUAACUUGGUUGGUAUUUUUUGACUGACACUUUGACAAUUUGACCUCAAAUCAGGUACGACUACCCGCUGAACUUAA